rnacentral:rRNA from 1 species
GACGAACGCUGGCGGCGCGUUUAACACAUGCAAGUCGAACGGAAAGGCCUGCUUUCCCUUGUGGAUUGCGGGUACUCGAGUGGCGAACGGGUGAGUAACACGUGAGUGAUCUGCCCCCAACUUGGGUAUAAGCCUGGGAAACUGGGUCUAAUUCCCGAUAGGACUGCAGGGUGGUGCCUGUGGUGGAAAACGAUUUUCUAGUGGUUGGGGAUGAGCUCGCGGCCUAUCAGCUUGUUGGUGGGGUAAUGGCCUACCAAGGCGGCGACGGGUAGCCGGCCUGGGAGGGUGGACGGCCACAUUGGGACUGAGAUACGGCCCAGACUCCUACGGGAGGCAGCAGUGGGGAAUAGUGCACAAUGGGCGGAAGCCUGAUGCAGCGACGCAGCGUGGGGGAUGACGGCCUUCGGGUUGUAAACUCCUUUCGACCGCGAGGAAGCCACCUGGUUGGAAGGGUGGUGACGGUAGUGGUAGAAGAAGCACCGGCUAACUACGUG